CCUCUCCGAUAAUUCGGUGGACCAUGCCGUGUUCAUGCUGGCGGCGAUGCAUGUCGGCGUGCCUGCGGCGUCGGUGUCGCCAGCCUAUUCGCUGGUGUCGAAGGAUUUCGACAAGCUGAAGAGCAUGAUCGCGCUGNCGCGAUUUAUGUCUCCAGCGCGAAGAUGUAUGCGCCUGCGCUCAGCGCCAUCGCGCCGCUGCAUACGGCGAUCGUGGUCGCGGGCGAUCCGGGCGGGUUCGACAACGCGAUCGCG
rnacentral:misc_RNA from 1 species